AUUUCCUUUUGUUUUAAUUUGGUCUCUUCGGAUUUAUUCAUCAAUUUCUGGAAAUCCUCACACGGCAGAGCAGUUGAUUGAGAAGAACAUGCUCCCAUUCCUUGCAAAGUAACCAGUUGGCCUGACUUUCUAAAAGAUAUCUUUGAAGAUUCAAAGUCAAAGAGAUUGGAUUAAAGCUUCUUAACCAAUAAACUCCUAGAAUCAUAUCAAAAAUACCUUUUCCCAG
rnacentral:misc_RNA from 1 species